rnacentral:lncRNA from 1 species
AUGCUGUACUACAACACCAUCAACCACAACUGUGAUGCUGAUAGUGACCCAGCAGACUUUCCAUCCAAGGCAAUUAUUCCAUUUAUGGAAUAUCCACAGAUUAGAUCAGAGACAGGGAACAAGACCUUCAACAUCUCGCUCAGCCAUUGGCGCAUCUUCUUCUAAGGUUCUAGCAGAAAUCCGGAAAGGCUCUUAGAUGUCCAUCCUUUGUUACAUCGAGGAAGAACGUUGUAUGAAACGAUAUUUAAGAUAUACAUUUUAAUGUGUUGUCGAAGGCUUUCAUGGCCAGAAUCACUGGGUUGCUUUGAGUUUUUUGGGCUGCAUGGCCAUGUUCCAGAAGCAUUCUCUCCUGAUGUUUCACCUGCAUCUAUGGCAGGCAUCCUCAGAGGAUGUGAGAUCUGUUGGACACUAGUUUAGAAAAAACAGACAAGAGUUUUUUCUCCUACCCUGGACUUUCUACAGAUAUAUAAACCCCACUAGCCUAGUUUCCAACAGACCUUACAACUCUGAGAAGCCUGCCAUAGAUGUGGCCAAAACGUCAGGAGAAAAUGCUUCUAGAACAUGGCCAUACAUUUUAAUUAUUUCACUUCAGUAUAAAUUGUCUAUAGCUCCAUAAGUGCUGAAUCAGAGUGACCUGAAAAUUAUGGAUAAUUUUCUGGAAAGGUGAUAUAGCUGUAGAUUCUAUAUAUUACAGUUAUGCUUUUGUAUUGGACAACGUGUCUAUUUUAAGAAGAAAGUGAACAUGUUUUGCUAUUUGAUCCACUCUUAAUAUGCUUUUGGUAUGUAAAAGGAAACAAUAGAGCCAGAAGGUGUAGAAUGAAUUGUUAUUAAUGUUGUGGGAAUGUACAUUUCUAAAAACAGGAUAAAUGUAUUCCUCUCAAUUGAAAACAUGUAUAUAUGGGAUACAUGUGACAACUGGUAACAUUACCACAUUUUAUUACAACCCCAGAAGGUAGGCAGCAAUAAUAACUGUUUUAUAGUAAAGCAUUUCUACAUUUUUGGAAAGAAAAAAAUUAAGAUGAGAUCCAUCCAUAUCUUUUUGCAUAAAACACAACCUGUUUAGAAAUAGUAUAGUUGGUUUGCUUGUGCCAUAUUAAGACUAAUUUUAAAAUGCCUUGGAAAAAAGAAUCAAGUGUAAUGAAUUGUAACAAAAUGGCAUUGUGUAUUUUAACUGACUAAAAGGUAGUGAAAAUAAAUACCAAUCUAUACAAACAGGCAGCUUCCAACAAUGGAGACACACCUAUCAUUGUUAAAGGCAGGAGUUGUGACUUCGCUAAGUUAUAGUUAAUGUUGGUGGGCUACAUGCUUGUUGGAAAAUGGUGAAUAUCCUUAAUUUGUAUUAAAUUAGGAAACUUGAUCAUUCGGUGUAUGCUGACAAUAUGUACAAUAAAUCUCUGAUGAACUUCAUCAUUUUGUAAUCUCUUGUCACCAACACAAAACAUUUGGAAAGCUCUGCUUUAAAUUGAGAAAACUACUUUUGAAUCUCACAGUAUUAAUGGGAAUUAGAGAAAGUAAGCCUACACUAAAAUAAUAGAAUCAUAGAGUUGGAAGAGACCUCGUGGGCCAUCCAGUCUAUCCCCCUGCCAAGAAGCAGGAAAAUCGCAUUCAAAGCACCCCCGACAGAGCUUGUGUUUCCUGACCACAAAACUCAAAGUGGAUCAGAAGUCACUUCUGGACGUCUUGGAUGCCGGUCCUCAAAGAGGUGUAAACUCGGAUGAAUCAGUUUAGCCUCUUGUUAAGAAAGGUUCCUAUGCUUGGGAUUUCAUCCAGCCCCGGGAGAGCACGUAUGAGCUCCCUGUAUCAGCUUCAGCUCCAUGUGGGGACGU